rnacentral:rRNA from 1 species
GACGAACGCUGGCGGCGUGCUUAACACAUGCAAGUCGAACGGAAAGGCCCUGCUUUUGUGGGGUGCUCGAGUGGCGAACGGGUGAGUAACACGUGAGUAACCUGCCCUUGACUUUGGGAUAACUUCAGGAAACUGGGGCUAAUACCGGAUAGGAGCUCCUGCUGCAUGGUGGGGGUUGGAAAGUUUCGGCGGUUGGGGAUGGACUCGCGGCUUAUCAGCUUGUUGGUGGGGUAGUGGCUUACCAAGGCUUUGACGGGUAGCCGGCCUGAGAGGGUGACCGGCCACAUUGGGACUGAGAUACGGACCAGACGCCAACGGGAGGCAGCAGGCGGGAAUAUUGCACAAUGGGCGGAAGCCUGAUGCAGCAACGCCGCGUGCGGGAUGACGGCCUUCGGGUUGUAAACCGCUUUCGCCUGUGACGAAGCGUGAGUGACGGUAAUGGGUAAAGAAGCACCGGCUAACUACGUG